CGCGGGGCCGGGCGGGGGGCGCCGAGCAGAGGCCGAGGAGCUGCGGAGCGCGAGGGUCCGGCGGUAGCGGCCGGAUGGCGCCGGGAGUCCGAUGGCACGGGGAGGCGGAGCGGGUCGCGGUCUCGGGGACAAACGAGGGGGCGAGAGGAGCGCGGCCGCGCCGCUGCCUCCACCCGGGAGCCGGCGCUGGGGAGGCGGAACCGGGGAGCGGAAUCCCCGCAUCGCCUCCCGCGGACUCGGUGCCGGCCGAGCCGGGACGUCCCGAAGCGCUCCCGGGAGGGGCAGCCCCGGCACCGUCGCCCCGCGCUCGGGAACCGCUGGCCGUGCCCCGGGGCGACAGCCUCUGCCAAAGCCGUAGGGUCUGUGUGCGGAAAGUGCCACGUGUGAGUGUGUCGGUGAGUUCUGCCGUUUAUGAGUGCUAGCGUGAACGUACAUUUUAAUUAAUACCUAAUUUGCUGCAUUUAUUUUAAUAAUUUGAGUAUCUUGAAGUAUUUGCACUGUUUUGCCAAAUGCUUGCAGUAGGCGCUUCAUAGCAAACACAAUAAUUAUUUGUAACUAAUUUAGCAUUUUCUCUGUACUUUGCAACUGGAUUUGAACUCUUUCUUGAUGAACAAGACAAGAAAUUGCACUUACCCUAACAGCACAAAAUUUUACGUGUCCUUCUUUAAAAAUGGUGUGAAAAUGUACACAAGAGCUUUAAUUCACCUUGUUCACCAAAGCAGCGGGUAGGUAACGUCUCAAUUUAUAGCUAAAUGUAGCUUCAACAACACAAUUUCUCUGAAAAAAAAAAAAAAAAAAAAAAAAAAAAAAGAAGAAGAAGAAGAAAGAAGUAUCUAAGAGAGAGGAGAGCUCUAACAGCAGCCUGUAAAAAUCCCCAGUCAUUCGGUGAACUGUAUCCAUUUUUACUUGUUAACUCAUACAUUCAAUGAGAUUCCUUGAAUAUGGACCUGGAGUGAACAAUUGCAUGGCCAUUAACCAUGCCAAACUGCUACAGAACAGACGUAAUUCCUUUUCUUCUAGGUUAUAUUUCCCUGUUGUAUUUCAGUUGCCUGAGUUUGAGCCAUGGUAUUUUGCCACACUGGGUGCUAUAUUCUAUGAAUGCAGCGAAUUGGCUGUCGCUUCAUUUUUUUGGUGCCAUAUAUAUAGGGAGCAGAGGUGCCUCAUUUUGCACGAACAGAACAUUACCCACAACCAGGAGUUGGUGUCCCAGCUGCAGUGCAGAGCAGUGCUCAGUGCCCACAAGCCGCUUCCACUUCUUUACCAACGUUUCUGAUUUUCUUCAAUACUGUGUGAAAUAAACAUAUGGGAACAACAGCAAAAGGUCAAAAUAUGAGAGCAGUGUGCAGCUACGUUUGGUGCACAUCGUGAUGGUGGCAUACAGAUUAAUAGUGGUUGUCAGUCCUUUUAAUACCUGUUUCACUUGGCUGUCAUUACAAUGAUUUCUAAACCAGUCAAGUCCAUGAAGGCGUAUUCUACCAGACAACAGUUUUGCACUUAUAAAGAGUCAAGAGAUAUCUGGACACGUGACCCCUCUCCUAGUAAUACGUUCAAAUAAAAAUUGUUAGUUGAAUAUAUGCUUUCCUGAAAGAAGUUUGAUUAUUACAGGGAGACAUACUGGCCUACAUGGUGGUUUGUCCUGAGCCAGAGCGCUCAGCCACAGGAGCGGCAGCUGUUCCCAGAAGGGAAGCAGGCAGUGUGCCGGGGUGGGUGGGUGCCUCACAGUGCUACUUGAGGAUGAGCUGCCAUGGAUCCAACAGUUCUGUUUGAACUAUGUUUGAAAUACAUAGCCAAAAGUUGAAGAUAGUGAAUGCUGUUAUUGCAGUUAAAAGUAACUUAAAAAAAAAAAAAUAGCUCAAGGCAUUGAUGGCUCACGUAACCGAUUUGGGAGGCAAACUGCUACCUCUAAAAAGGACAAACACCCUCAACAAAACAAAAGAGGUUUCUCACUUUUAUGAGGAGGCAAAGGCAGGGUAGGAUUAACUAUGUCCAUGUAGCAUCACUUUACUAAGGACGAAAAUAUUUCCUCAUAUUGAAAGGUAUUGCCGCUACCCUUGAUUCAGAUCAAGGUCUAAAUCCUGCAAUUGCUUGUUACUCUAAGCACAUGAGGAGGCCCCACAGGAACUAUUCACAUGUGAAAAGAGCUAGGACCAGAGCCAAAGUUUUGCAUACUGUGAAGGUCAAGCUUGCUUCCUUUGUAAGACUUGUACUUCAGAGAAAAACUCUCAGAAAUAUGGUUUCCAUACAGAAACUUCAGCUGAUUCUUCUUCUUCAGUUGUUGGGGAGGAUGCUGUAUGUGCGGUGGCUGAUUUACAGCGUUUUGUGUAAUUCUGGCCCCUGUGACUACGGUGCUGGCUGGCUCCAGGCACUGCCUUGCAGCUCUGGGAGCUGUCCCUGCCUUUCCCGGAUUGCUGUUUCUAUGUUUUCUCUUCACACUGACUUUUUGUAAACUUCUCAGAACAAAAGGAGAAAAGCCUCAUAGAUAUUAUACAACUGUUGGCUUUAGAGCUGUUAUAGAAUAACCUCGUAAUAAAAAUGCACUGGCCAUGCAAUGAAUUCUCAGCAUUUUUCCAAAGGUCAUACAAAAUAUAUUGCUUGAGCGGCCGUACUUUGGCCACUCAGAUAAGUCAUGGGGAGACCACAGCAGAUGACAGUCUCCAGGAAAUACUGUAAUUCACUUUUAUGUCUCUAUGAAGGAAAAUAAGAGACAAAGCCUUCCCCUGACUACUGGGGAGGGGGUAUAUGUGGAGACUGGCAUAGAGAACAAAAGGGAGCUACUUUUGCAAGUGUGACAGAUAAGGUUGGAGGUCUUUCUGCUGAAGGCCUUGCGUAGCUUUGCUUUGUUUCUUUUUGUUUCUCUUCAGAGCAACAGAAGAACGCAGAAAACAAAUUGUAGCUGCACUUUACUACAUCUUUUAACAGGAUUUUGCCUCAAUCCCAAGUUAUUUUCUGAGCACAUAUUUGAAAAUUAGUUUCCAUUUUCUCCAUUUUCCAUCAUCCUCAUUUACUGGAAAUGUAAAAUAAAUCUCACUUGGGAUCCCUGAGCAUGAGAACCGCUUUUACUUCUGCUUUUUGAUAUUACAUAUUCCCUAGUUUUACCUUUUGUAGGGGCAAUCCUUACCUGGGUUGCACAAUACUUCGUAAAUGACAGUUGAUACUCUAUCUGGACUUAACAUUGAAUACAGUUGUUCUUUUAGAGUUCCCUCCUUUGCAGUGAACUAUAAUUUAUAAUAGCCGAGCAACUUUUCUAAAAUAUUCGUAGAAAAACUAUUUUUGCUAAGAAACUUACAAAUCACUUUUUUUUUUCCCCACUCAGAUUCAUAAAUGCCUAAAAUGCAAGCUAGUUGAAAACCUAACUUCAGAGGAGCUGGAGCAGAACAGCUAUGAAACAUUCUGCUGCAAUCGUGUCUUUACACCACUGAAAAUAUUGCUAUCCAGUAUCAAAUGAAUACAGUAUAAAUUAGAAAUAUCAGACAUAUACAGCUACAGCCACAAAUCUAGAUGAACGACUGCCAAAUGGCAACAGUUUCAGCUGAGUUUUGCAUGCAGUUGAAGAACAAUAUUUGUCAUGAAGAUUUCAUCUAAGUCUUCCUUGAAGCAGAAUGAAUUCCAGACUCGAGACCUCAUCUAAAUCAAACUGGAAUCUGUAUUAAGCUCAGAGUACAUUUUCAUUGUGUUUAUGUUCUACUUAUUUUUUUUUUUUAUUUUUAUUUUGCUGGCUGAAAUUAGCAUGUAUGGAACACCAAGUGUAGGGGACUGAGCUGUAUUCUUCUCUCCAGGAUAGUAAGUAAGUAAAUGAAAAAAUAAAUGAAAGAAAACAAAUCACAGAGUGAAUCUACAUGACUAUGGUAUAUCUGCAUACUUUACAGUACUGCAGGUUUAUAGCUGAGUUUCUGCAGGAUUAUUUCCUUCUACCUACAACCCAAUAGACUAUGACAGUACUGAAAAUUUCCAAGGAACCAAAAUUGGUAGGCCAUGAUGAACAAAAGUCUGAGGCAAGCACACUGGCGGAGAAUCUGUGCAAAUAGUUCUUGCUGUGUACUGCUACAAAGUGCUUAAUAAUUCCCAUUCCAAAGAUUGCUGUAUAAUAGUAGCGAGUGAGGUUGUUCAAUUGGAAAAUGCUUGGGAUUGUUUUGGAAGACAGAGUUAUGCAGAAAUGCAUGGCACUGAGAUAUAGAUUCCUUUCCUUCAAUUUAUAUAACAAGAUGUUUCUUAUUAAGUUUUUCACAGGAUUAUGUAACACACCUUUCAAAACAAGAGCAUGAAGAGGUAUAUUGACAAGAAAAGCUAACAUUUCCCCUGGUCAUAACUGGAUGUCACAUUGAUGGUCAGGUUUGGAAACACCACCAGUCAGUAAUUAACAAACAGGAGCCUGCAUUCAGUUUGCCACAUGGGAACAGUGUAGAUUACUGUAUCACUCUUACCUGACUUUUGUUUGACCUCAUAGGACAUUAUGGUCUAUCAUUUAAGUCUUGGCUAUUACUCAUGGAUGCUAUAUCUGCCUGCUGAAAAUAUAGUUCUGCCAAACAAAAUCUGAAAUUGCAUUUAUGUGUGGUUUUUGUUUUUCAUCAAAACAUCACCUGUACUUCUGUGAAAUAUGCAUAAAAGUUAAAUCAUGAGAUACGUGCAGGCAGAAAAUUCCUAUUCAGAACAAAAAUCAUUAAUAAUAAUGAUAUAUAGCAAAUAAUUUUUCGAUGGUAACUUCCUCUUGUUUCUAGAGUUACUUUUGUAACUGCUGAACAAAUAUCUAUAUUUGUUAUCCUCCUGAAUGCAGAGAAAAGUGGGCUAUCAUUUACUCUUGCUAGAUGCUUUGAGCUCUCUCAGAGAGCAUGUGGUAAACUGAAUGCAGGCCCCUGUUUGUUGUUUACUGACUGGUGGUGUUUCCAAACCUGACCACUAAUGUGACAUCCAGUUACGACCAGGGGAAAUGUUAGCUUUCUCUAUGCCAGUUUAUGUGGAACAAAUCUAAUAUAAGAAGUUAAUAAAACUCACACUGUUAAAAUGCUUAUGAAGAUUAAAGACAUGCUUGUAAAAGGUUUUUGAGAUAGUGUAAAAAUACCAAUGGGUGGUUAUGGUCGGCAACUAUUAGAACUGGAAAGAAGACUUUAGAAUCUUAAUGAUAGAGAGAAUGUAAGUUAUAGGUACACCCAGUAAAGUGGCUGUGUGUUGAUCACAUUAGGGUGUUCUGUCUUACUGUGUCACAAAUUAAUACAAAAAGUGAUGUGCAGUAUCAAGCAGUAAAUAAUUUAGAGUGAUUUUUGUGUGGAAGUUUCCCAAUCAUCCCACAAAGAAUGCUCAGCAUUUUUUGAAAAUCAAGUGCCUUUAACAAUAUCAAGCAAGGGAUGCACUAGUGCUAUUCAUUUUUAACAUCAAAGCUUGUAUUUCUACUGGUUUAUCAGUUUUCCAUUUAAUAGAAGGAAGAAAGGCUUCUUGCAUAUGAAACUGCUGCAAAAUAUGUUUCCCCAAACAGUGUACAUUGAAUAAUAUUUUAACCCACUGCAAAACCAGUUUAAUUUAUUGAAAAUGUGAUUACCAUUAUUCAAAAAAAUAUGCAAGAUGUAAAUAAUUUAUUUAAUGAAGAAUUUGAGGUGAUUUUGUAUGGCUAUCUGCAGAUGGCUGCAUUUCUCAUAGCAGAAUCGCUAGAGGGAGUCAUAGGCAAUGAUACUCCUUCAGGAUCUCAAACAGGUUUGCAACUGAAAAAUUAGAAGAGGAUUUUAGGUAAUAUUUAGCAGAAAAAGAAUACCAGAUAAUUGUAAUCUCUGUAAUUUAAUUUCGCUCUCUAGUUACUGAUUAUUAAUGAAACUAGUUUGGUCUCAGAAGACACCUAUAGCAAAUCAUGAUUUUGCAUAAGAAACAACCACAACAAACCAGCAAGAUAGAUGUCCCACAUAAGAAUUUAAAUUAACAUAUUUUUCAGUUAGUAUUAACGUGGGUGCAGUGCUGAGAAUGUGCUCACAGGAAUUUUAGAGCAAAUAGCAAAAGAAAAAUCAAACAUGAAUAGAAAUCAGUUAAAAGUGUAUUUGUCAGUCAUUUUUACCAAGGUUUCUGCACCUUUGUCUAAUUAAGUUUAGCCUAGGGCCUCCUUUGCUUUUAUGUUUAAUAUGUAGAUUUCAGUGCAGUAGAACAAAACUAGUUUUAUUCAAGAUUUAUGUAGCAGUAGGACAAAAAGGCUCAUUGGGAAAUAUAUACAUAUAUUGAAUUUUUGCUGUCCUAAGUAAUUUCCACAUUGAAUCCAAGCUGUGGAUUCACAACAUUUCUCACAACUAGGAGAACUAGGAAAAGAAUAUGGUUCUCAUCCUUAAUCCUAGCAAGUUUUGAAUGCAAUGAAAUGAUAUGCUGAUCUACUGUGAUAUUUUGUAGAUAAAACAUUUGAUUUAUAAUAAGGCAAUCAUCAAAAAGAUAUAUAUCUGUAUAUAUAUAUAUAUAUAAAUAUAUUUUUUUUAACACAAGUUUUCCUAACGAAGUCUAUGACAUCAAGCUGCGUGGUGCAGUCAACACUCCUGAGAGAUGGGAUGCUAUCCAGGGAAACCUAGAGAAGCUUGAAUAGUGAGCCCAAGAGAGCCUUAUGAGGUUCAACAAAUCCAAGUUCAAGGUCUUCUACUUGGGUCUUGGCAACCCCCCACUAUCAAUACAAGCUGGGGAAUUAAAGGAUAGAGGACAGCCCAGCCCAGCCUUGUGAAAAGGACUUGGGACACUGGCCGAUGGUAAGCUGAACAUGAGCCAGCAAUGUGCGCUCACAGCCCAGAAAGCCAACCAUAUCCUGGGCUGCAUCAACAGCAGUGCGGUCAGCAGGGAAAGAGAGGUGACCCUGCCCUCUACUCUGCUCUGAUGUGACCUCACCUGGAGUGCUGUGUCCAGAUGAGGAGUCCUCUGUACAGGAGAGAUGUGGACCUGUUGGAGAACAACCAGAGGAGAGACACAAAAAUAAUCUAAGGUAUAGAACACCUCCCCUAUGAGGACUAGGAGAGCUGGGGCUGUUCAGCCUGGAGAAUAGAAGGCUCCGGGGAGACCUGAUAGUGGCCAUUCAGUAUAUAAAGGGAGCUAUAAGAAAGAAGGGGACAGAUUAUUUAACAGAGUCUGUUGUGACAGGACAAGGGGAAAUGGUUUCAAACUAAAAGAGGGGAGAUUUAAAUUGAAUAUAAGGAAAAAGUUUUUACAAUAGGAUUUGUGAAGCACUGGAACAGGUUGCCCAGAGAGGUUGUGAGUGUCCUGUUCUUGGAGACAUUCACGGUCAGGUUGGAUGGUGUUCUGAGCAACUUGAUAUAGCUGUAGAUCAGCCUGUUAUUUGCAGAGGAACUGGACUUGAUGACUUCUAAGGGUCUCUUCCAACUAAAAUGAUUCUAUGACUCUAUAAUUGGUAGCUACCAAUAUAGCCUGAAGAUCUUAAGUUAGCACUCAUCCAGUGAAAUUAGAGUGUGCUCCUUUUUGGAGUCUAAUAAUAAAUGCAGUUUAAAGUAACAAACAACUUUGUACUUGUGGUACUUCAUAACACUGAAGCACAGCUUGUUUCCAAAAGAUAGCUACUUACAUUAGCUACUUGUUUGAAAAGAAUAUGAGACAAAAAAUGUACUGGUGACAAUUUUCUUAAGUGUCGUAGGUAUACAGUUUAAAAAUAUGUGUAAUUAGCUGUACCCCAAUGGCAUUUAUGGCUGUGAUGCUUUUUUACAGACAUAAUCAUGGUAAUAAAAGCCCUAGGAGUUGAUCUGGUGCAAAAAGGAUUCAUCUGAACUCCUGAAUUUAAACUAUUUUUAAACUCAUGUUAAUCAAAGAUUUCUAUGCUUUCUUAUUUUAGCUGUAUCAGUAUACACUGCCAGACUCAAGCAACUUAUUUUAGCCUAAGCAUUUAAAUUUCAUAAAAUUUCUCUAAAAAUUAACUGGAAAAUAAAAACAGGUCUACAGAGUGCUAAGAUAGUGGUGUUCAGAGUAGUGCAAGUGGUGUUAAGAGCUGUUGGACAAAAAAAUAGAUAUCAAGACACUUCUCAGCUCCUGUAUUUGUGUUCAGUGGAUUAGAUCAGAGUUUUAAAUUUUAAUCCCAUAUAUGACAUGAGGCCAAUUCCUAGAGAGAAACCUUUUGCUUUUACUUUGGAUUAAAUGUUGCUGAGUUUUUCUCAUAUUCGUAGCUGUGUUAUUUGGAACUGUUUCACAGAAUCAUAGAAACAUAGAGUCGCUCAGGCUGGAAAAGACCAACUGCAACCUAACUGUACUACCCUAACUGAAAUGGGAAGGGAUCUCUGCAUCCAACUGGUCCAACUCCUGUUCCAGAAGGGCACUUAGAGCAUGCUGCCCAGGACCAUGUCUAGGUAGUGUUUGAAGGUCUCCAAGGUGGAGUCCCCACAACCUCUCUCUUUGCCCUCUCCCUUCAACUAUUUGUACACAGUGAUAAGAGCCUCUUCUCCAGGCUGAACAGUCUCAGCCUAAAGCGUAUGGAAUAUGACCAUAAUUUGAGAAGAGUAAUCUAACUGCCUAAAAAUGCAUAAGAUAAGCUCUGAUUCCAGCCCAACAAUGGAUCUUUGGUAUAACUUAGAAAAAAAAUGCAAUUUCUUCAGUUUUGAAUUUUAUAAUUAAGAAUAAAAAAUGAAAAUAGUCCAUAUUUACCAUUAUUUUCAUUUACCACCUUCACUGUUAAUGACUUUAUAUAUACAGCUCAACAGGAAAACCUCUAGCUACUCUAGGCAGCUGGGGUUUGUAAUUAUUACUCUAAUUAUUCAGAAUGCCUGUAUUUGAGUUUAGCUUCUGCCAUCAUGAUCAAUACUUUUGACUUGAUGGCCUUGUGAAAUUCUGAUAUUUGCAUUCUUUAUAUUUUUAGAGAAGACAGCAAUCAGAAAGAAAUCACUGUCAUGUUUUUGAUGGUUUUGUUUGUAUACAUUGAAGAAAUGUAAAGUCAGGACAAGGCAAACUAGGAGAAAGCUGCUCUUUCUUCAUAACAUUACCACUGAGUGACUUUAAUUGCUUUAACUAUAUAAAGAGAGAACUCAGACUUACAAGUUAUUGAAGCUUAACAAACAUAACUCAUCAGCUGACCUUAAGUAACUGACCAAGUCAUUCCCCUCUGCCCAUGGCAAAGGCCUGGUAAAAUAUGUUAGCUUAUCUUUAUAACACACUCCCAUGCUGCAGUUAGAAUGGCUUAGACCACACAGGUAGUAGUUGCCAUGGAUAAGCUUAUACUAUUCUUUAAAGCAUUGCUGUUACAGUCACUGGUGUGCCUGAGCCCCUGCUUAUAGCAAUAUAUUUCUGCUUGUAAAAUUCCCUCCACAGACAAGACCAGCUUUUGCUUUUAUCAUUAUUUCAAUCACUUUAGUGUAGAUCCAAUUACACAGGUAUAAGAGUGUUUCUACUGGCAUACCCUGGCAUCAGUACAACAGCAGUUAAACACAUAACUCUAGAAUCAGGAUAGAUGUGUGAAUAACAACAUCUGAUCAACAGCCAUGCUGACAAAAUUUAAACGAGAUCAAGCUUAAAUCUUAUCCACCUCUGACAAUGGCAAUGCAUGUUAUGUGCCAGGCUUACUGGGCAUGAGAGGACAGUAUGACCAGAAGCUGAUUCAGGAAAACUUCCCUCAUGCAUGUUUAAUGCAAGUCAGAGAUAUUCAUCCCUAGCUGUGCUGUAGACAGUGGUGUCCUAACCCAAAACCACAUGCAUGGCAGCAAUAAAUGCCAAAUUUAUGACUACCACCAGAGCAUAUACAUAUACAUUAUGGCAUUGUCUAUCUAUAACUAUAUACUGUUGUGUAUUACAUUUCCCAAUGAGCUCUGCAUUCUUUUGUUAUGUGAAACAGAGAAAUAGACUGUAGAUCACGUUAGAUACGGAUUUUCUGCUUACCAAAGCCAUGGGUCAAUACACUAGAAGGCAAAGGUGAAGUACUACUGUAGUCUUUUUCCACUUUCGCUUCUAUACAUUUCCUUGCAAUGUGUUGUAAAUGAAGAGCAGAGGCCAUGAUCUGUAUUAGACCUGAACUAAAACUGUCUCACUUUGGUCUAUGAAAAAAAAAAUCUCAGCUUGUAAUCUGUACUGCCAUGUAAUUCAGGUCAUAUUCUAUCCAUAGUUAAACAAAAUGCUUUACCUGAACUGAAAAUAAAGUAUGCAUUGCUGCUGAUAUAUCUGCCAAAUUUAAAACAUGAUAUUAACUAAAGUCGACAGCAUAAGCCACUCAAACAAGCCCUGAGGGAGUCCAAAAUGCUCCUUAAUAUUUAUUUUUCAUAUUUGAUUGCAGGUUAUGCACAGGUAAGUGUAGUACUACCCUGAGGGUUUUAAGUGUAACGUAGUCAACCAUGAUAAUACCUUCAGUAUCUCAGAAGACAGUUCUCACAAUGACUAAUAUGAAAUGAAAGCGAAGCUGAGUGUUUUUCAGACUAGUGUUAAGUUUCCUCUACAGUUAUUUUAGUAGGUUUCCGAAAUGCUUUUGGUGUUUGCCUGUGAGUAAGAGAAAAACAAAUACUUUCCUAUAUCUAUCACAGUAUUUUCCAGCACUCAAAGAACCCUAACAUUAACUUGCUUUUAUAGCCCUGUAAUACACGAGAAAUCACUAUCCUCAUGAUCUUCCACUACUUCCUGUAAAAAUUUAGACUGGUGUUUCCCUGUCAUUUACUCAGAAAUGAAUCACUAACAGUUAGCACAUAUGCAUGUAGUAGUGACAAAAGAAAAUGAGCUGGAAUUAGUCUACUUCAGGUGUUCCCGUCCAUUUUAACCUCUCACAAUGGUAAAACAUGGAAGAGAUAGUCACAAAAAUACCAUGUUUUUAAAGAUAUUUUUCUAAAUCUUAAUUAUUUAAAAAGUAAAAUGUAAUAUCAUAACACAUUUAAAUAUAUUCAUACACAUUAGACAGACAUUGAAAAACAGUUAUGUCCCAGAAGAAAACAGUCUUCAGGUCAACCCUACCAGCUCUGGCUGCUCUAAGUUGCUCAACUGCUUCAAACAGACCUACUUCUGGCUUAACAGUGAGCGAAUUUCAAGCAGAUUUGUAUUGUUAGGAUAGCACAGAACACUAAAAAGUAUUACCUAAUUUUAUCUCUAAUAAGACAAAAAAAAUGAAAAAGAAGGUAAAGGACAAAGUUAAGCCUAGGCUUCUUACAUAGUUUUUUGGUAGGAGUUAUACUUGCAUAAUGGGAUCAACAAAAAUUAAUAGGCUGAAUCUUGCCCCUUUACUCCACACUACUGAGGCCUCACCUGGAGUACUGCAUCCAGAUGUGGAUUCCUCAAUACAGGAGAGAGACAGACCUGUUGGAGUGCAUCCAGAAAAGGGCCACAAAAGUGAUCCAAGGGAUGGAAUACCUCUCCUAUGAGCACAGACUGAGAGAGCUGGGGCUGUUCAGCCUGGAAAAGAGAAGACUGUGAAGUGGCCUGAUAACAGAAUUUCAGUAUCUAAAGUGGAGAUACAGAAUAGAAGGGGACAGACUUUUUAGCAGAGUCUGUGAUGACAGAAGUAGGGGAAAUGGCUUCAAGCUCAAAGAUUUAGGUUGGAUAUAAGGAAAAAAGUCUUUUACAGUGAGAGUGCUGAGGCACUGGAACAGGUUACCUAGAGAUGUGCUUGACGCCCCAUCCCUGGAGACUUUCAAGGCAAGGCUGGAUAAGGCCCUUGGUAUCCUGAACUAUCUGUGGUGUUUCUGUUCAUUGCAGGGGAGUUGGACUAGAUGGCUCUCAGAGGUUCCUUCCAACUGUAAGGAUUCUAUGAUUGUAUAAAUGAAGAAAUACAGUACCCAAUGCUAUAUUUUGAAUUUCUGCCCCUCUCAAAGUCUUAGUAUCAACAGAACGUCUUACCUUCUGUAUUUCCAGAAUUACAGUUCAAGAAGUAAGAUAGUAUACACAAGAAAGGAGGGAUGAGGCUCUCCUGGCUUUCUGUAAGCAUCUCUGGUGUUAGAGCAUACCCACAGGUUACAGGAGACCAGAUUCUGUUCUCACCCAGCUGCUGGUGGGAUGGAGUAGUUGCUUUUGUGUGGAGUUUAGAAGAUGUACUCCUACUGUUAAUUUAAUUUAAAUUCUGGAUGAUAGGAAAAAAGUUUUCCUCUGUCAUUUCUCUAACACCAGUAGCUUUAGAGGAAGCCAAGUUCUACCAGAAAACAUGAGAUAAAUGUAAUUCUGGUGACUGGAGUUAUGAUUUCUGUACUAAGUUUGUCUUAGAAGACAAGUGAAAAGAUGCUUUAUCACAGUUCAGCUUUAAAUUUUGAAGGCUUUGUCUUGUGAAACUAGGAUAUUUCACCAAAAUGCAGUUCCUUUCCUUUUAUCAUCUUCAGAGAUGAGUUAAUGGAUUAGUAUUUUUGUUAAUAUAAUUAUUACAAACAUAAAACUUAAUCUGGGCAUAAAUAAUAAAGUUUUGUUACUGAUUUUAUUUUAUUUUAUUGAGUAAUCCUCUCAAGUAUGUUUUUAAAAGAACAAGAUGCAUAAUGGAAAGCACUUUAAACAGAUUACGUCCAAAAUUUGAAACAAAAAAGUAUUGAAGUGUUU
rnacentral:lncRNA from 1 species